CUAGCUGGCAAGGCUACAUGUUGCAACACCUGAAACCAGAAAACGGCUAGUAUUGGAGCAAAAACUUUUGUGUUGCAUAUUUUCGGGGACUUUGUUGAUUCCCCUGCUGUUAACAGAGUUUGCUCGACCCUUGAUUUUGAAUUUUCGUUUGAUUUUUAUUUGUCUUUUUCCGCCUUCUAUAUUUUCUUGCUCCUCUUGAGUUUAGUUUGUUCAUCUAAUGACAGUUGUUGUUGUCAUUAUUGUUUCAGAGCGGAGAAACUUUAGACCAGUUGUUGUGCCGAAAUUGUAUGCAGAUUGAGGGAACCUGCCGUUCUGAGCUGAAGAGCAAUUCGCAUUUGGUUAGUUAGUGGACAAUAAACUGACGUUGCAUGCAUAUUUAUGGGCGGUUGUAGGUUAACUGGUAAUUGAAUCAGUGCCUGAAACAUUGUUUAUUAAUAUGCAAUUUGAGCAGUAGUACGUGCAGACAAAUCGAACCUGGUUUCUAGUCAGUUGACUGCAAAUGGCAAACUAAUUAAGCGAAAUUAAUGCGUCGCGGAUUUCUAAGCCUGAUUACAUAAUUAACAAUAUGCCUUGUGGCAGGGAUAUAGAUUAAAGGAAGACGGAUAGCCAAAGGGGGGCUUAAAAAUGUAAUUUAUAUAUAUGUACUUACUAUUGAAAUAGAAAUUUAAGUAUAAUAUUCGAGUUAUACAAUAUGUCUUAUGUGUAACCCUCCACAUACUCGUAUUUCAAUGUAUGCAAUCAUUAAAAACCAAUGGCGAACACUUAGUAUGUUAGUUUAGUUCUAUUCACAAGGGAAACGGUUCAGUCCAAUUUUUUCUAUCCAAAUGCAAAUAAAAGUACUCCGUUUGCCAUUUCUCUGCAUUGUGCAUUGUACAAGCCUUGAUAGUUUCAUUUCAUUCGCCCUGAAGUCUAUUUCAAUGUACUGCAUUUGGCAUGAAACAAAGGGAAAAACAGCCAAACUGAAUUUUACUUUCAACCCAUCGCGGAAGACUCAGUGGAAAAAAACCAGCCCCCUAGAACUGGCGAAAAUAAAAUAUACGACGUUCACUCUGUUUUUGUCUAAUGUAAAAUGCGACGCUUCGGGUAACGCGUGCAGAUUUUGAGCUUUAUAAAUUGAAAUGUCAGAAAAAGUUGAGGGAGCCGCAGUACCGAGCAGUUGACUGACUGACUGACAAGCAGCCACAGCCAGAUACCAAAAUCCGCCAGUGGAGAAAGCCAAGUCAACUGCAAAACUUCGCCAUAUUUUAUUAUUAUUGUUUCCUCUCUUUUUCGAUCGGAUAAGAAGUGUGCCUCUACUUAGUGUAAUUGACAAUCUUGUUGUGAGUCUUCCAGUGUUUGAAAAGCCAGAGUAAGUUGCCACAGGGAACAAUUGCCGGCAGCUUCAACAGCCAUUUUAAUUUAUUUGUAAACUUGACAAUUCAUUUAACAAGUUUUCUCUUACCUUUAACUUUGGCAUUGGAGAAGAAAUUCUGUUAUUGAGAAGUCAGCAUUUGAUAAUGGAUUGCACAGAAUUUUAUGCUGAUAUUUAUUGUUAAUUAAAUACUUACACAUUUUAUUUAGCAAUGACACAAUUUGCUGGGACUCGCAUAAUAAACACACACAGCUCAUACGGUAAAGAAUUUUAUUCAAAAA